AGACAGCAGUCGCCGCGGGAAUACGGAGGGUGCAAGCGUUAAUCGGAAUUACUGGGCGUAAAGCGCACGCAGGCGGUCUGUCAAGUCAGAUGUGAAAUCCCCGGGCUUAACCUGGGAACUGCAUUUGAAACUGGCAGGCUAGAGUCUUGUAGAGGGGGGUAGAAUUCCAGGUGUAGCGGUGAAAUGCGUAGAGAUCUGGAGGAAUACCGGUGGCGAAGGCGGCCCCCUGGACAAAGACUGACGCUCAGGUGCGAAAGCGUGGGGAGCAAACAGGAUUAGAGACCCCAGUAGUCCCUGUCUCUUAUAC
rnacentral:rRNA from 1 species